rnacentral:rRNA from 1 species
CAGUCGCCACGGUAAUACGAAGGGGGCUAGCGUUGUUCGGAUUUACUGGGCGUAAAGCGCACGUAGGCGGAUCGAUCAGUCAGGGGUGAAAUCCCAGAGCUCAACUCUGGAACUGCCUUUGAUACUGUCGAUCUGGAGUAUGGAAGAGGUGAGUGGAAUUCCGAGUGUAGAGGUGAAAUUCGUAGAUAUUCGGAGGAACACCAGUGGCGAAGGCGGCUCACUGGUCCAUUACUGACGCUGAGGUGCGAAAGCGUGGGGAGCAAACAGGAUUAGAUACCCCAGUAGUCCCUGUCUCUUAUAC